UCCACAGAUGAUCGAAAGAUUGCCUUUGAGACCCUGAAGGUGAAGGAUGAGAAGAGCUUUAAAGAAACUAAAGUCCAGAUGAAAAAAAUACAGAAACUACAGGAUGGCAUAACCAUUUCAAAAGGUAAGAUCAUGAUACACAGCCGUGAGAGUGAAGAUGAAAACUGGUAUGUCCACAAUGACAAGGAAUUUGUCCUUGUACAACUGUGAAAACUUAAGCCCAGGCAGCAUCCCAUGACUUAGUCAAACUCACCCUGGAAAGUAACACUACUCUCAAGGCCCUGAUAAAGAUUGUUGAGAAAAGGGUGAAAAGAUCCUUAAGAUUUCUAAAAUAUGUAGGAAAUUUGAAUACGAAAAAGAAAAAGGGCUUCAUUGUUGUCAGUAUUGACUCCUAAGGAGCAGGAGGAGAUUGAGGAGAAUAACCUAGAAGACCCGAGGAGCUCGCCAAGCUGAUGGUGGACUACAUAGGGAUGGAGAAUUUCCAGAAAUAGUAUGACAAAGUGAAAAUGGAGCAACUGAGCCUUCAACACAGACAAGCCCACUGUUAGAAAACAGUGGGAAGCUGUGGGAGAUGCUGAAGGAGUACUUCAAUGGCAUCUCAGUGAGUGACGAAGUGCUGGGCCAAAUCAACCCACUGUUCAUAGUCAUGCGUGGACGCAGCUUACCCUAGCCCUUGUCCACACCUAUAGCCCAUCCAGGUAACAAACAACAUCCAACCACUUAC
rnacentral:lncRNA from 1 species